rnacentral:rRNA from 1 species
UACGAAGGGUGCAAACGUUGCUCGGAAUUAUUGGGCGUAAAGCGCACGUAGGCGGCUUGGCAAGUCGGAUGUGAAAUCCCUCGGCUCAACCAAGGAAGUGCAUCCGAAACUGCUGAGCUUGAGUACUUAAGAGGAUCGCGGAAUUCCCGGUGUAGAGGUGAAAUUCGUAGAGUAUCGGUGAGGAACACCAGUGGCGAAGGCGGCUGCUGGGA